CCUACCCUGAGCUGGAGUGACAGACUGACAGGUGCUGUCAGCGAGGGGCCGGCGACAGCGGGAUGGCUUUGGCUUUUCAUGGAAUUCAACAAGGCACAAGAACAAGACAAAGCAGCAGCAUGUGCAGCUCCAGGAGGCCUUUGGCAAAGCAGCCUUAAAAAUGCACAAUUCCAGAAUGUUUGAUUAGGAAAUAGAGAGCAUUAUCUAAAGAGUCUGUUCUGAUUUGCUGUCACAGACCUGGAUAUUCUCACUGCUUGGGAAGUGGGUGCUACCAAACCUUCACCUUGUGGUUCAGGGGAAUACAGCCCCGGUGCUGUCCGUGGGAGUUUUGAUGUGGACUUCUAAGGAUCCAAAUGUCACAAUUCAGCGAGAGCCUGCAGAGAAACUGAAAGUUUGGCACCCAAAAUCCAUCCUGGUGCAAAUCCCAACCUAGCUGUGGCUUCACUGGCAAUCCUGAAGUUCAGGUUUGAAAAAAGCUGGAAACACCAAACUUCGUUGAAUUUGCUGCAUUUUAUCACAAAAAUAAAGGAAAAUGAAAAAAGCAAUUUGAUUGCCAUAUAAAUAACAAAAAAUCAUGACUUGCUUUCUGAUUCUUGGUGAAUAUUUUUGCUCAGCUCCUUGAACCUCUCAUUUCACCAAAACUUCUCAUUCAGGCUGUGACCAGAUCCAGAGCAGUUUUUUCAUGGAAACAAACUGAUUUAGGCUCAUCUGAAGCUUUAAAAAACACUAUUGCAGGGAAGCUCUGGAGCUCCCCUCUGUAUUUUUGAUGCUCCCAAAUCAUUCUUCCUUCCAGGCCCAGGGUUUUCCAUGGGAACACCGAAUUUUUGAGGUGAAAAUUCACCUUUAAAAGGCUCCCAAGGGAGGUCAGGAGCAGCUUAGAUGCUUUUCAAGCUGAAUAAACACCGACAACCUCCAGAAACCCAACUUUUCCCAGCAUGGAGUGAAGUUCCUGAAACAACACUUUGAACCCUGCGCUCAUUUCAAGCUGUUAAAAAUCACCUCAUCCCUUCCACUCAAUAAUUUUCUGAUUUAUUACAGAAAGGUGAGAGGUCCCCCCUCC